rnacentral:misc_RNA from 1 species
UCUCCGUUGGUGAACCAGCGGAGGGAUCAUUACAGGACUCGCAAGACUCCUACAACCCUGUGAACUUAACUAUAAACACGUUGCUUCGGCGGGUGUCUCGGGGGGGGUUCUCCCUCCCCGAGACGCUAAACCCGCCGGCAGCCUACUAUACUCUGUCUCUUUGCGUUGGCAUCUCGAGUACAAUCAAACAAGUUAAAACUUUCAACAACGGAUCUCUUGGUUCUG